GAUUCUGUAGCGUAGUGGAAGCGCGUCUGCUUUACAGAAAUCGCAGAAGGCCGCAGGUUCGAACCCUGCCAGAAUCA
rnacentral:tRNA from 1 species